rnacentral:rRNA from 1 species
UGGGGAAUAUUGGACAAUGGGCGAAAGCCUGAUCCAGCCAUGCCGCGUGAGUGACGAAGGCCUUAGGGUUGUAAAACUCUUUCGUCGGGGACGAUAAUGACGGUACCCGAAGAAGAAGCUCCGGCUAACUUCGUGCCAGCAGCCGCGGUAAUACGAAGGGAGCUAGCGUUGUUCGGAAUCACUGGGCGUAAAGCGCACGUAGGCGGAUAGUUAAGUCAGGGGUGAAAUCCUGGGGCUCAACCCCAGAACUGCCUUUGAUACUGGCUGUCUCGAGGUCGAGAGAGGUUGGUGGAAUUCCUAGUGUAGAGGUGAAAUGCGUAGAUAUCGGGAGGAACACCUGUGGCGAAGGCGGCCACCUGGUUGGAUACUGACGCUGAGACGCGAAAGCGUGGGGAGCAAACAGGAUUAGAUACCCAAGUAGUCCCUGAGCGGGCUGGCAAGGCGCAU